GAUUACACUAUUAAGUUCACUUCGAUGAUGACAGAAGUGAGCGACUUAAUUUCGAGUCUGGCCAUAGCGGGGUACACGAAUGGGCUAGUACCCUACUUCCCUUUGGCCCAACAUCUUACGCUCCAUAAAGUGGAGACUCUACCUGACCUCUUCCAGCAAGCCCAAUCAUUCAUUGAGGUGGAAGAGCAGAAUGAGAACAAGCUAGUGGAACUUGAGAACACUAGCUUCAAAAAACCAAAGUUCGAGAAGAAGAGCUAAAACGGGAAGAAUAGUUUCUGCGGCUCCUCGAACAAAUACACUGACAAUGCGGCUAGUUCCUUCAAAAAGGAAUGGAAGCCCAAACAUGAUAAUAAAGUAUAUCAAACAACCACCAAACAGUCGCCAAAGGGUCCAUCCCAACCACGGAAGGAUUGGACCCCCUUAACAAUCAAU
rnacentral:lncRNA from 1 species